AUUGAACGCUGGCGGUAGGUUUUAAACAUGCAAGUCGAGCGGUAACAGACAUUUUGAUUCAGCUUGCUGAAUCUCGUGCUGACGAGCGGCGAACGGGUGAGUAACGCGUAGGAAUCUACCCAGUAGCGGGGGAUAGCCCGAGGAAACUCGGAUUAAUACCGCAUACGCCCUUAGGGGGAAAGGGGGCAUCUUUGAUGCUCUCACUAUUGGAUGAGCCUGCGUAAGAUUAGCUUGUUGGUAGGGUAAAGGCCUACCAAGGCUACGAUCUUUAGCUGGUCUGAGAGGACGAUCAGCCACAUUGGGACUGAGACACGGCCCAGACGUCUACGGACGGCAGCAGUUAAGAAUAUUGGACAAUGGGGGAAACCCUGAUCCAGCCAUACCGCGUGUGUGAAGAAGGCCUUAGGGUUGUAAAGCACUUUAAGCAACGAAGAAGAAAAAUAAGUUAAUACCUUAUUUUUUUGACAUUAAUUGCAGAAUAAGUACCGGCUAACUCCGUG
rnacentral:rRNA from 1 species